CCUACGGGUGGCAGCAGUGAGGAAUAUUGGUCAAUGGACGAGAGUCUGAACCAGCCAAGUAGCGUGAAGGAUGACUGCCCUAUGGGUUGUAAACUUCUUUUAUAUGGGAAUAAAAUGUUCCACGUGUGGGAUUUUGUAUGUACCAUAUGAAUAAGGAUCGGCUAACUCCGUGCCAGCAGCCGCGGUAAUACGGAGGAUCCUAGCGUUAUCCGGAUUUAUUGGGUUUAAAGGGAGCGUAGGUGGAUUGUUAAGUCAGUUGUGAAAGUUUGCGGCUCAACCGUAAAAUUGCAGUUGAAACUGGCAGUCUUGAGUACAGUAGAGGUGGGCGGAAUGCGUGGUGUAGCGGUGAAAUGCUUAGAUAUCACGAAGAACUCCGAUUGCGAAGGCAGUUCACUGGACUGCAACUGACACUGAGGCUCGAAAGUGUGGGUAUCAAACAGGAUUAGAUACCCUUGUAGUC
rnacentral:rRNA from 1 species